rnacentral:rRNA from 1 species
AAUAUUGCGCAAUGGACGGAAGUCUGACGCAGCGACGCCGCGUGAGCGAUGAAGGUCUUCGGAUCGUAAAGCUCUGUCCUUGGGGAAGAAGGGCUUCGGCCUUGACGGUACCCAAGAAGAAAGCCCCGGCUAACUACGUGCCAGCAGCCGCGGUAAUACGUAGGGGGCGAGCGUUGUCCGGAAUUACUGGGCGUAAAGGGUGCGUAGGCGGCCUUUUAAGUCAGAUGUGAAAGGCUACGGCUUAACCGUAGUUAGCAUUUGAAACUAGAAGGCUUGAGUACAGGAGAGGAGAGUGGAAUUCCUAGUGUAGCGGUGAAAUGCGUAGAUAUUAGGAGGAACACCAGUGGCGAAGGCGACCACCUGGGCUAAUACUGACACUGAGGUGCGAAAGCGUGGGGAGCAAAC